GGCCUAUCAGCUUGUUGGUGGGUAAUGGCCUACAAGGCGACGACGGGUAGCCGGCCUGAGAGGGUGACCGGCCACACUGGGACUGAGAUACGGCCCAGACUCCUACGGGAGGCAGCAGUGGGGAAUAUUGCACAAUGGGCGCAAGCCUGAUGCAGCGACGCCGCGUGAGGGAUGGAGGCCUUCGGGUUGUGAACCUCUUUCGCUCAUGGUCAAGCCGCAACUGUGGGUUGUGGUGAGGGUAGUGGGUAAAGAAGCGCCGGCUAACUACGUGCCAGCAGCCGCGGUAAUACGUAGGGCGCGAGCGUUGUCCGGAAUUAUUGGGCGUAAAGGGCUUGUAGGCGGUUGGUCGCGUCUGCCGUGAAAUCCUCUGGCUUAACUGGGGGCGUGCGGUGGGUACGGGCUGACUUGAGUGCGGUAGGGGAGACUGGAACUCCUGGUGUAGCGGUGGAAUGCGCAGAUAUCAGGAAGAACACCGGUGGCGAAGGCGGGUCUCCGGGCCGUUACUGACGCUGAGGAGCGAAAGCGUGGGGAGCGAACAGGAUUAGAUACCCUGGUAGUCCACGCUGUAAACGUUGGGCACUAGGUGUGGGGGCCACCCGUGGUUUCUGCGCCGUAGCUAACGCUUUAAGUGCCCCGCCUGGGGAGUACGG
rnacentral:rRNA from 1 species